GAUGAACGCUGGCGGCGUGCUUAACACAUGCAAGUCGAACGGAAAGGCCCAAGCUUGCUUGGGUACUCGAGUGGCGAACGGGUGAGUAACACGUGGGUGAUCUGCCCUGCACUUCGGGAUAAGCCUGGGAAACUGGGUCUAAUACCGGAUAGGACGAUGGUUUGUAUGCCAUUGUGGAAAGUUUUUUCGGUGUGGGAUGAGCUCGCGGCCUAUCAGCUUGUUGGUGGGGUAAUGGCCUACCAAGGCGUCGACGGGUAGCCGGCCUGAGAGGGUGUACGGCCACAUUGGGACUGAGAUACGGCCCAGACUCCUACGGGAGGCAGCAGUGGGGAAUAUUGCACAAUGGGCGCAAGCCUGAUGCAGCGACGCCGCGUGGGGGAUGACGGCCUUCGGGUUGUAAACUCCUUUCGCUAGGGACGAAGCGUUUUUGUGACGGUACCUGGAGAAGAAGCACCGGCUAACUACGUG
rnacentral:rRNA from 1 species